AGGAAAAAAAAGAAAAAAAGAAAAAGAAAUUGCAGAAUCCAAUCAUUUGUAGGGGUCUCCACAUACUUUUGUGUAUAUAUAGUGUACAUCUCUUGAUUUAUUGGCAACAGAUUAAAGGUAUGUCAUUAAAAAAAGUCAUAACAUCAUUAUCUUACAGGCAGUUGAAAACCCUGCAUGUAUCUAUUUUUGUUUUUAUAUGUCAUUGCAUUGUAACUGUCAAUAAUUUAGAUUGUCUAGACCUAGGAUUUUAACUCGCAACAUAAAAACAGUGGGGAUCUUGCAGUAUAACAUGCCUUAGGCUAUAACAUGAACUUUGCCAUGCCUAAUAAGAGUCUUGAUCUUCCUAGACCAUAGUUUAAACAUAGCAGUCAUAACCAUUUGUAAAGAUCUGGGUUUUCUUCCACAGAGCUCUCCUCCCCCGGAGUGAUUUAUGAGUUUAACAGUUCAUUAUGUUGGCAAUGACUCUGUUUCUCUGAGCUGGCGCCCUUCUGACCGGAGGUACGAGUUGACCUACUCCUACUACACCCAGAGAGAGAUCUGUUCCAUCCAAGGUUCCAACAGCGCUGAUGUGGAAGGUCUGUUUCCCGAGGACGAGGUACAGUUUCAGCAUCUCACUGGUCACUGAAGAUGGGAAUCGGAGUGUGGCGGUCAGCAUGUCUACGUGUACAACAUGUCACAUGAUGGAGAGGAAGCCCAUAAGGUGACAAGAGUCCAACACUGUGACAUUCUCCAGUCUGAGUCCAGGUGUCAAGUACACCACCUGUGUUUCAACGGUGCUGAAGAACAGGACCCAAAGCAAGUCAGCUGUGAUUGUUUUUUUGAGGGUUUUUUUUACGUUUCAGUCUAGCAGGAGGGCAUUUACCAACCUUCUAAUAUGUCAUCUAUGAAAUAUGGGAGGUGCUUCACAGUUUUAGUAACAAAGGUUUUACUAAAUUCACCUGUCCAUAUUUAAAGAUAUUUCAAACCGUCCUCUUUUCCCCCACCUGGAGAGCUUUCUGCUGGACCUGGGGUUGGAGCAACUGUAACGAUCAUUGUCCUCCUCGGAUGAUGAGGAGUAGGAAGGAUCAGACCAAAACGAAGCGUGUACUCUAUCCUGAAGGAACUGCUGUCAGGAUUCAACUUUGACAACUACUAGUUUCCUCUGCGACCUCACAGUCAAGAUAUGGGCCCUUGAAAUCUGCCCCAAGACUAUAAGCAGAAUAGGCACUCCGUGGAAUGGUACUUGCACUUGACCUUAGCUACUGGCCAAACAGCAUUGUGGGUGUUAUUUGCAUUGCUUAAAAGCAAUUUACAGAAGACUUAUUCCUUGAACUGAGCAUGAAUCAGUCUACCUAGGGUACUAGGGUCUGAUGCUAAAUCCAUUUUUUAAUGCUUUCAAUGUUUAAUCAUUCAAAUUCUGUAAAUAAACAAAGUUGAAAAGUUACUGCAUUUUAUUCAUGCCUUAUACGUUUUGUUGAAUGCAAAUGGUCAUAUUUUUAAAAUAAAUUGUUUUCUAGACACAUUUGUUUGUAUUUUGUUUGGG